AGCCCGGAGAUGGAUUCUGAGACACGAAUCCAGGCCCUACGGGGUGCAGCAGGCGCGAACACUUUACAAUGCGGGAAACCGCGAUAAGGGAACCCCGAGUGCCAGCAUCAAAUGUUGGCUGUCCAGAUGGUUAAAAAUCAUUUGUUAGCCAAGGGCCGGGCAAGACCGGUGCCAGCCGCCGCGGUAACACCGGCGGCCCGAGUGGUAGCCGUUUUUAUUGGGUCUAAAGGAUCCGUAGCCGGCCUGAUAAGUCCUUUGGGAAAUCUGACAGCUUAACUGUCAGGCUUCUAAGGGAUACUGUCAGGCUUGGGACCGGAAGAGGUAAGGGGUACUCCAGGGGUAGGAGUGAAAUCUUGUAAUNCCCUGGGGGACCAUCUGUGGCGAAGGCGCCUUACCAGAACGGGUCCGACGGUGCGGGACGAAAGCUAGGGGAGCAAACCGGAUUAGAUACCCGGGUAGUCCUAGCUGUAAACGAUGCUCGCUAGGUGUCAGACACGGUGCGACCGUGUUUGGUGCCGNCAGGGAAGCCGUUAAGCGAGCCACCUGGGAAGUACGGUCGCAAGGCUGAAACUUAAAGGAAUUGGCGGGGGAGCAC
rnacentral:rRNA from 1 species